GACUCCGCCCAGCCGCGCCACCCAGGUAGGUGCGCCUGCGCUUUGCGAGGUUCCUGGCUAGGGAGGCGGCCUUGGCUGGCUUGACCGUCAUCCUUGAGGCCUGCGGGGCAACGGUGGCUGUCCUUGGCCCGGCUUUGGAAUGUGGCUUUGCAGGGCUGGUGUUGGCGCCAUUCUCGCAGGCCCACGUGCUCCUGCUCUUCCAGGGUGUCCUCGGCUGUUUCUCCUGCCGCGGCGCAGCAGCGCUCCCAGGCUGCCCCCGCGAUAACACGCCCCUGGCAGCCAGGCUCCCAGCUCUGUUACGUGCCCGGGCGGGGAAGAGCUUCCUGGUGUCUCCCGGCUCCUGCCCUUCUCCCGCCCCAGGGGCGGGCUGCCGCCGCCCUCUGCAGCUGAGUCAGUGCAGUUCCUCACCUACCUUCUCUGCUCACCGCUGUGUGCUAGCAAUCGGAGGACCCUUGGCACACGGAGCGACAGGGGCCUCCCCCACAGACACCUCAUUUUGGGAAAGAAGUGAGCAAUUUAUUGAGUCUUAAAAAAUACAAAGGCAUAGUUCCCCUUAAUCUAUCAGGCUUCCAGCUCUAAAGAAUGUCUCUAGUAUUGCGGGGUGGGGCUGCGCUUAAAAACGCAGACGCUUUGGUUUUAGUACCAGCAACGUUAAAAAUCUUCUAUCUUGUAUGAGUGAAUGUGUAUCCCUUGUGAUCAGUUAUUUGCAUUUGCAGUUACACCUUCAUUCAGCUAAUUGCUGUCUUGAUUUGAAUCCAGGUUCUAGAAUGUACUAGCUCCGAAACCUCAGGCAAGUUAAAUGUUUUUGUGCUUCAUUUUCCUAAUCCACAAAGUGGCAAUAGAAGAAUUUAUCUCUUUAGGUUUUGUCUUGAGGAUUAAAACCGUUAAUACUUAGAGCUGUGCCUGGUAAAUGGCAAGCCUUUAUAUUAAGAUCUGGACCGUUCUGUGCUUUGAAGUGUAUGACCUAAAGCAGAUGUAGGCAUUCUAUAAGUAACACUAGCAUAAAGGUGUAUGGUAAAUUCUAGAGGUGAAAACACUCCCAACAUAUUUUAGGUCUGAUCAUUUAAUUUUGAGGUAAUUUCUGAAAGGGCUAGAGGAGAAAGUGACAUUUAAGUUGUGUUUGAUAAAUGAUAGUAUUUUAACUGGCCAGCCUCUUGGGGGAAGUGCAUUCGGAAUGGCUUGAUCAAAGGCUCAAGAAGCCCAAGGUGCAUUUGGAAAACUGUAAGCAAGGUUUGUGUAGAUGAGUUGUAGAAAUAUAUAUAGACAGGCUGACACCACAUCGUGGAAACAGUAAACACUAGCAUAUUAAUUAGAAUAUUUUUUCCCUCAAGUAACAAAAAACCAAUUCCAAGUGGCUGAAAUAAUAAGGAAUUCAUUAUUUUACACUCCCCAGGUUGGUUAACCUGGAGGGUAACUUGGGGGCUCAGCACAUUAUCAACAACACGUUUUUUCCCCUACCUUUCCACUCUGUCACCUGGGUUGUUGGCUUCAACAAAGUAGUAAUAGAAGUAUCUGCUCUUUUGUCUUUAUUGGAAGAGCAAAACCCCCUCGUAAACUCCCAACUGACCAGAAUUACAUCAUAUUGAUUUAAGCUUAGGAUCUAUAUAAGACCACCAUAUUUGGAUUAGACCAGGUAACCGGUCUUUCUAGGCCUCCAAGAAACACUUGGCCAGGGAGGAGGAGAACAAAUUCUGUUAGGAGGAUGUUGGGGCAGAAUUGAGUGGGUAUUAAGUGGGUAAACAAUAGUGCUAUACCAGCCACAGUGGGCUUUAUAAAGAAAUUGAUAGCCACUAUAGGUUCUUGUACAAGUUUCUUUCUUUUUUUUUUUUUUUAGAUGGAGUCUCGCUCUGUGGCCAGGCUGGAGUGCAGUGGCGCGAUCUUGGCUCACUGCAACCUCCGCCUCCCCGGUUCAAGUGGUUCUCCUGCCUCAGCCUCCUGAGUAGCUGGGACUACAGGCGUGUGCCACCCCGUCCAGCUAAUUUCUGUAUUUUUAGUAGAGGCGGGGUUUCACCAUGUUGGCCAGGAUGGUCUUGUUCUCUUGACCUGGUGAUCCGCCCUCCUCAGCCUCCCAAAGUGUUGGGAUUACAGGCGUGAGCCACUGUGCCUGGCCUGUACAAGUUUUUAUCCACAGCCUGUUUCUCUUCUUGUACUUUCUCCCAGGGCAGUCCCAUUUCACGUCUGUAAUUUCUAGUACCACCUAUAUACUCAGGGUAGCAAAGGAUGUAUCUCUAACCUAGACUUCUCCCUCAGGUGACAGUCCUGGAUAUCUGACUAUUUUGUGGACAACUCUUGGAUGAUCUGAAACUGAAAGAUUCAUUCCACAAAUAGUUAUGUGUAUCUAGUAUGUGCCAAGCAUUGUUGUUUUCUUGUCCCUCGUCCCCACUCCCCUGGUGUUAGUGGGGAUAUAGCAGUGAAAAACAAAAACAAACAACAGAUUAAAAGUCCUGCCUUGACAGAAUUUAUAUUCUAGUGGAGGAGUCAUACAAACAAGAAAAGUGAGUACAUUAUGGGUGUUACAUAAUUAUAAUAGCUAAUUCGAAAUAAAGCAGGAAAUAAGGCUAGGUGCUAGGGGCAUGGGAGACCUAUCAAUUUUAUAGUGGUCAGAGAAGGCUUCAUUGAGAAGGUGACAUUUGAGUAAAGACUUGAAGGAGGUGAAGAAAUGAAACUUGAGACUUGUGACUAAUUGUCACAGCAUUCCAGGUCAAGGAAGCAGCCAAUUCCUCGUUCUAAGGCAGGAAGUCGUGUUGGGGAUGGCAGUAAGAGUGAGUGGAGCAGAGUGAGCACAAGGAGGAGCAUUCGGAGAUGAAGUCAGAGGCUGGGCCGUGCGCCCUGUUGUAGGUCAGUGAAAGGACUUUAGGUUUUACUCUAGGGUUAAAAGUCCCUAAAGGGUUUUGAGUAGAAGCUUGACAUAGUUUGAUUAAAAAAAUUUGUUUUUUCUAGUUGUUUGGUUGAGAAUAGACUGAAGUGGGGCAAAGGCAGAAGCAGAGAGACCAGAUAGGAAGCUGCUCCCAAUAAGGCUGGUGAGAGGGUGGCUUGGAUCUGGUGUAGGUGUGGUGCUCGGGCCCGAGAGAUGCAGUGAGUCAGUGCCGAGGCCAUGUCGGGGGACAGACUGCCUUGCUUUCAGUGGAGCUUGGUUCUGGAUCUGGGACAAAAGUGGUGGGAAGAUCCCAGCUCAAUUUUGAAGGUAGAACAGAUUGGACGUGACGUGGUGCACGAGAGAAAGAAAGGCAAAAGAGAUGAACCUAAGGUUUCUGAUUAAAUGUUAGACAUUGUGUAGGAAAAAAAUCACAUAGAGGCUCUGGCAAAAAAAAAAAAACUAAAUAAAUAAAUAAAAAAUAAAUAAAUAAAUUGCAUAGAGACUGUGGCUGAUGUUGUGUUUCUCCAGAAAGGAUUUAAUUUUAUUCUGGCAAGCAAUUAGAGUAGGAACGGAUGACUUUUUUUUUUUUUUUUUUUGAGGCGGAGUUUUGCUCUUGUUGCCCAGGCUGGAGUACAAUGGCACUGUCUUGGCUCACUGUGGCCUCCACCUCCCGGGUUCAAGCAAUUCUCCUGUCUCACCUCCCAGGUAGCUGGGAUUACAGGUGUGCACCACCAUGCCCGGCCAAUUUUGUAUUUUUUUAGUAGAGACUGGGUUUCACCAUGUUGAUCAGGCUGGUCUCGAACUCCUGACCUCAAGUGAUCCACCUGCAUUGGCCUCCUAAAGUACUGGGAUUACAGGUGUGAGCCCCUGCGCCUGGCCUCAGAUGACCUUUAAUUAGGGAUUCAGACUUUGUGAGGGCUGAUCAUUUUCUAGUUUGGCCUUAUCCCAGAGCUAGGCCUUUCUAUUCUUUCUCAACAUGAACAUCUGUGGUAUUUAACAGGUCCCCAUCUUUGGGUGACCUUGAACUCCAAUUUUUGUACUCCCAGCUCUGUGAGACUGUUGAAAUGUACACUUAGCAUUUUAGCUAUUUAGCAACUGUUUGGUUUCUUGAUUUCCAGUGCCCUUACAGCUUAGAAUUCAGCAAAUGCCUCAAGGAUAAAAGCCAAACUAAAUGUCAGACUGGCUUCUCUAUGAUCCUCCUUUCUUUGGGAUCUGUCCCUUCAAGUCCUAUCCGCAGUUUUCAACUCCAAUUUUUUAUCUCCCCGUAUCUGAAAGGGCCCUGAUACCUCCAGGUCACUGCUUUCUGCUCGCCAUAAAUGCCCUGCACAAAACUCAGCAAAUGACCCAAUCAGAAAAAGCAAUGGAGAAGUUCUGUAUCACUUUAUGCAUCUGUCUUCUGGGAUCCCAGUCUCUCAUGUCUUGACCAUCUUGGUUGCUCUCCAGUGUCUUCAAACAGCCUGUGUAGUUUUUGUUAUGUGUGCUUUUUUAAAUGUUCAGCUCUUGUGCUUAUUCCCAUGAGAGGACUGGUUUAAUUUAAACUAUUCAAUUACAGCUAGAGGCCAUGAUAAAGUUGUUGACUAGAGUAUCUGGAAGAAUGGAGUUGCCAUUUAGUGAUAGAGGGAACGCUGGGGAGGAUCCAUUAUUGGAGUGAGCAUUAGCAGCUUGGUCUGGGGCACAUCAAGCUUGGAAGGCAUGUUAGUCAUCCAAGUGGAGAUGUUGAGUAGACAGUUGGACAUGGGAGUCUAGAGUUUCAGGAGAUUGGUCUGGGCUACAGAAGUGGAUUUUUGAAUCAACAGCCAUGAGACUUGAUAAGAUUACCAAGGGAGUGUAGAGAGAUAAGGCCUUGAGUGUUCCAAUAUUUAGAGUUUGGAAAGAUGAGGAAUAAUCAGCAAAGGAGACUGCAAAAGAGGGCCAACAAAAUGGUAGAAAAUGCGGAAAGCCUGGUCACCUGGGAGUUAAGUAAUGAAAGUGUUUCAAGGAGAAAGUAAUCAGCUGUAUCUAAUGCUAUACAUGUGCUAAGCAAGAUAAGAACAUUGGAUCUAGCAGCAUAGAGGUCUCUGGUGAUCUGAAAAAAGGCAACUUUCAUGAAGUUGUAGAAGAGAAAGUUCAGUUAUAAUGGAUCCUGAAGAGAGUGACAGAAGAGCGAUUUAUGACUCAAGGAAAGAAAAAACAAAUGGGCUGGUAGUUAAAGGGAAAUUGAGUCAAGAAAAGGUUCAAUAUUUUUUAAUGGUAGAAUUGACCGUAUGUGUAUGUGCUUCUAGAAGUGAUUCAGGAGAGAGGGUGGAAUGGAUGGUGUGGGACGGAGGGAAGAAUUGGUGGAAUGAUGUUGGCAAAAAGGAAUAGGCUUUUGUGCAUAAGUUGAGGGAUUGGCCUUGCCUAGAAACAUGGACAAUUCGUCUAUAGUAAGAAGAGAAAAGGUAGAUCUAUGACCACAGACAUAGUCAGAUAAUCAUUUUAAAAUUCUUUAAUCAAUAGAUGUUUCUGAUGUAUGGCAGGCAGUAAGCUAAGCAGUUUACAUACCUGAUUUCAUUUAGUUAUUAUAACAAUCCCAGUCUAACAAUGAGGUAGAUUCUGAUAUUAUUCCCAUUUAAUUUGCAAGGAACUGAAAUUUAGAGAAGUUAAAAUGACUUACCAAAGUCAUAUAGCAAGCAAGUGACAGGACCAAGACUUAAGCCCUUGACUGCUGGACUCUAGAACUUAAGCAAGAAAGCAUCAGCUUAUGAUGUUCAUUGUCCUCCCACUCCCAGAUCCCCCAUUUCUUGCCCCUUUUGCUUGUUCCCCCUCCCCUCAUUCUCCAUAUCCCAAUAAUCACUAAGUCCUGUCCAUUUUACUUCCUCAGUGUUUCUUGCUUCUGGAUCCUCUUUUUUGUAUCCUUCCUAUUCCUACCAGCCUUUGACCUCAUCAUUCUGACCUCAUGUAGUCUAAAUUAAAUCGUCUAUGGAACCAAACAAUAAUCGAACAGAAUGUGAUCCUUGAUCAUGCUUGCUCCAUAACCCACUGCCUAAUGAGUUCAAGUUUCUUAAACUAUGCUAUAAGCCUGCCACUACCCGGUUACUGCGUAUUUUUCGAAUUUCACAUCUCACUGAUUUCUGUCUUGUACUUUUUUUCUCAGCAGAGCUGAGCGCUUGCAGUCCCACUGCAUGAACUAUCAUGUUUCCACGCUGUGUUUGUGCUUUAUGAUUUUUCCUUGUCUCUUUUCCUGGAUUUUUUUUCUACUCCUCUUUUAAACCUCAGCUCCUGUUGCUUUCUCCAGGAAGGCAUUUCUUUUUUUUUUUGAGACAGAGUUUCACUUCUUGUUGCAGUGAACCGAGAUCAUACCACUGCACUCCAGCCUGGGCGACAGAGUGAGGCUCUGCUUCAAAGAAAACAAAACAAAACAAAAUUAAAAACCCAGAUCUCGCAAGAACUCAUUCACUAUCCUGAGGACAGUAUCAAGUAGAUGGCAGUAAACCAUUCAUGAAAAACACCUCCAUGAUCCAAUCACCUCCCACCAGGCCCACAUCCAACAUUGGGAAUUAUACUUUGGCAUGAGAUUUGGGUGGGGACACAGAUCCAAACCACAUCAGUAAGAGAAUGCAAGGGAGAACUUAAUAUAGUUCAUUAUUUGACAGACACUAAGCACCUUCCCUGUACUGAGCAGUAUUAUAAGAGCUUCGGAUAGAUGAAGCUUUUGUCCUACUGUAGGGAAGUAGAUAAUAGGCAAAUAAAUCAAAAAAGAAAAAAAGAAAAUUUCAUGAAAUGAUAAAAGCUUUGGUGAAAACAAAACAAAAACUUUGUGGUGGUGUUGGGGGGCAUGAGUAGCUGCCUUCAGUUAAGUAGCAGAAAAGGCCUGAGAAGGUAACAUCUAACUAGAGACCUUGUGACAUAAGAAGCAGCGAACCACAUGAAGUUCUGGGGGAGCCGCCCAGACAGAGGGCGGUGGCUAGUGCACUGUUCCUAAGGAAGGAACAAGCUUGUAUGUUUAAGGAGCAAAAGGAAGGCCAGUGUGGCUAGAACAUGGAAUGACGGGGAAGAGUGGUUAGACGUGAGCUUUUAGAGCAUUUUGAGGAAGCUGGGGGCAAAUUGGAGGGCUUUGUAGAAUGGAGGAGGAGUUGGGAUUAUGGGGAGCCAUUCAAGGGUUUUAAGAAAGGAUAUCAUCUGAGUUAUAUUUUAAAAAGAUCACUGAUUGCUAUGUGAAGAAUGGAUUGUAAGAGGUGAAGAUUAAGUUGCUAGUUAGGAAGGUGCUGAGUAGGUUAAUGAGAGGCUCUGGCUUGAAUUAGGGUGAUAGUAGGGAAAAUGGAGAGAAGAGGUACAUUUGGGAGCUUUCAGAGAACGAACUAAGUCCCUUUAUUCCUCUACUCCUCACUGCCACUUACUAAUAGUAAGUAGUGGAGGACUACAGAAUGACUGCUAAGAUUUUGGCUUUACUAAACUGACAGGAUGAUCAUGUUAUUUAUGCGAUGCAGUCAAUUGUUGGAAAGAGUAGGAGACCAAGAGUUUUGUUUUGGACAGAUGCUAUUGGACAUCCAAAUACAUACGUCACAUUGGCAGGUUAGAGAUGCGAAUCUGAAGUUCAGUGGAACUAGAGAUAUAAAUUUGGUACUCAUGAGCACUUAGAUGGCUUUAAAACAUUUUAAAGGAGAAGGGAAACUGAUUUUGCCAAAUCCAAGGGUUUUAGGAACAGUGUGUUCAACCUGGUCAGAUACCACUGAGAGGUUGAGAAAGGUGAGACUUGAGAAGUAAUCAUUGAGUUUGCCAACCUGGAAGUCAUCUGUAAACUUGACAGUCACACAGAUUCUGUGAAGAGGAGGGGACUGAAGCCCAUGUAGAGUGAUUGAAGAGAGAAUCUAGUUACAGAGGCAGAGUUGCAACCCUAGGUUAUUCUUUCCAAAAGUUUUGCUCUUGUCUUCUUAGUGAAGUGCACGAAGCCUUUGGACAUCUCUGCAAAUGGGUAGCAGUAGAACAUGAAUUAAUAAGCUUUUGCCACAAGGUGUCACUAAUUCUUCAUUAGCUUCUAGUAAGCGAAAUAAUUGCAGCCCAGGUAUACCUUGUAUUAGGGAAAUAUUAUUUUUAAAAAUCAUAUUUACAAAGUAGGCCAACUUGGCCCGGCGCGGUGACUUAUGCCUGUAAUCCUAGCACUUUGGGAGGCUGAGGCAGGCAGAUCACCUGAGGUCAGGAGUUCAAGACCAGCCUGGCCAACAUGGUGAAACACCAUCUCUACAAAAGUACAAAAAUUAGACAGACAUGGUGGCAGGCACCUGUAAUCCCAGCUAUUCGGGAGGCUGAGGCGGUAGAAUUCCUUGAACCCAGGAGGCAGAGGUUGCAGUGAGCUAAGAUUGCGCCAUUGCACUCCAGCCUGGGUGACAGACAGAAAGAGACCCAGUCUCAAAACAAAAACAAAAACAAAAGCGAAACAAAGUAGCUAACUAGAAGGCAGUUACUUACAUGGUGGAGAGGUUUCCUUUCAAAAGACAGUCUCUAGUAUGUUUAACAAAUGUGCAUGGCCGUCAAGUGGUGCGUGGAGCACUGGGCUAGCAAUCAGAAGACCAGAGUUCUGGGUGUAGAGUAUUGGAUUUGGAGUCAGAAGCUUCGAGUUCAUCUCCUGUUUUGUUCUCACUAGCUAUGUGACCUCAUGCAAAAUUUAAAUUAUUCUUUGUCUUAUUUUGUUGUUGUUAUUUUAAAACGAUAGAUAGUAAAUGCUGUUCUGGCCAUCUCAAGCAAUUAUUUUUGCAUACCAAAAGAGAUAAUGUGUGUAACAAUUUAGAAAAUUAUGAAGUGCUAUGUAAAUAUAAGAUUUAAAAAAUUUUAUAAAAAUUAUUUAUACCGAACUUUACAGCAAUAUAGGUAUUAUGUAAAGCAGUUGUAUUAGUGAGAACCCCCGGUUGCAUAAGGGAGAAAUCCAAUUUGAAUUUGCUUGGCAGAAGGGCAUGUUUUGAAGUUUAUGGGGUGGUUCCUGUGCCUUCAGGGAUGGCAGCAUUGUGGGUGGGCUUUAGGCAUUGCUGGAAUCAGAGAUUGGAAUGACGGCAGCAUGUGUACCCUUCAUUCCCCUUUGCUUCUGUCUGGUGCCUUUAUUCUCUUUGGCCCAAACUUACCUCCCCUACCUUGUGGGGGAACAUUUUGAUAUUGUGAUUGUAGGGCACCUGCAUGACAACAUCCUAUAGCUUGAGAAGGUGAGAAGCUGGGGCUGGAGAAGUAGACGUAGAAUUACCUUGAUUUUGAUGAAGAGAAUAAGAAUUUUGAAUUUAUGAGUGCCAUUGUCAGUUAAUGCUGACCUUCCAGUUUUGAAAAAUAAAACUCACAUGCUCUGAAACAGUUUAAUAUCCUUGAGUCUGCAUGUCUUUGCCUGCCUGCCCGUCCGCCCGCCCGCCUGCCUGCCUGCCUGCCUGCCUGCCUUCCUUCCUUCCUUCCUUCCUUCCUUCCUUCCUUCCUUCCCUCCUUCCUUCCUUCCUUCCUUCCCUCCUUCCUUCCUUCCUUCCCUCCCUCUCGCUCUCUCUUUCUUUCUUUUCUUUCUUUCUUUUCUCUCUCUUUCUUUUUCCCUUCCCUUCCCUUCUUCUUCCCUUCCCUUCCUGACAGGGUCUCACUCUGUCACCCAGGCUGGAGUGUAGUGAUGCAAAAUCAUGACUCACUGCAGUCUUAACCUCCUGGGAUCAAGCCAUCCACUGGCCUCAGCCUCCAGAAUAGCUGAUACUACAGGUAGUUGCCACUAUGCCCAGCUAAUUUUUCUAUUUUAAUUUUUUUUCCAGUUUUAAAUAGUUUAAAAAUUAGCCAGGCAUGGUGGCGGGUGCCUGUAGUCCUAGCUACUCAGGAGGCUGAGGCAGGAGAAUGGCGUGCACCCGGGAGGCAGAGCUUGCAGUGAGCUCAGAUCUCGCCAUUGCACUCCAGCCUGGGCGACAGAGCGAGACUCUGUCUCAAAAAAAAAAAAAAAAAAAAAGUUUAUUCAAGAAAAAGCUGGGAGUGGCCCAUUCAGGAGGAAAAGACUCCAGAGAAACAGGGUCAGUGCUCCAAACGUCAAAGGUAAGUUCUUAAUUAUAGAGGCAGAAAACAAAGACAUUAACAGGAUUACAAAAUUUUUUAUACAAGGCUGGUUUAAGAUGAAACUCUAAUAUAUAGGACAUAAAUAAGACUUCUAAAGUGUGUUCUAAGAACACCUGCCAAAAUUAUCAAAAUUCUGUCAUUGUUCCUGGGAUUCAUUUAAAAUGACAGGGCUGGGGACUCCUGGUUUAAAGUGGCAUUGACUGAAGUUGGAAUUUCUUCCAAUUCUAACUAAAUACCCAUGGCAGUAGGACAGGGCAUGUCCCAUUUCUGUCUAGAGGAGCACAGUAGCUGGAAAUGGGAGGGAGCUGGGAGCUGGACAUUGCAGUCUGUUUUUUAGCUUGAAGAGGAGAUUGACAGGCACCCAGGUAGAUAGAAAGUGAGGCCGAGGACAAUAUGAUGUGUGUCUGUUGGUGGGCACCAGGUCUGGAUCUGUUCUAUUCAUUGGAGGAGGAGGUGAGGAGAAACAUAAAAUCUGCGAAAAAAUGCUGUCAAGUAGGAGGAAGGGAACACACAUUUGAAUAAUCAGAGGAAGACAGAGCUCUAAAAAUGAAACUCAUUGGUAUCCCUAAAGAUGCUGUUUGGUACCACCUUUGAAUAAAGCCAUGCAGAGAAUUCUUAAGAUGCAAAAAGACGGAUGUGAUUGAAAAAGACUGAUAUUAUAGGCAAAAAUAUUUUUUAAUGCUUACCACAUGCCAGCAAUGGCGCUCGGGGCUGAGGAUAUAAUGAUGAAUAAAAUUGCCAUGAUUCUUGUCCUCUCAGAAUCUAGUGAGGUACCAGACAAGGGAACUGGCAUUUCCAAUUCAGUGUGAAAUGUGUGAUAAUAGGGUUGGCAGGGCACAAUAGAAGCACGAGGACUCCGAGCCAUCCUUGGCGGUCGUGGCAAGCUUCCUACAUGAAAGCUGGAGCUCAGAGCAUAUGAAGAUGUAGGAGUUUGCCAAAUGAAAUGACAUGGUGGUGGAGAGUGUUUAUGACCAAAGAAUGCCGUGUGUGAAGCCCUAGAGGUGAGAAAAAACCCAAGAUGUUGUCCAGGCCCAGUGGCUCAUGCCUGUAAUCCCAGCACUUUGGGAGGCCAAGGCAGGAGAAUUGCUUGAGCCCAGAAGUUUGAGACCAGACUGGGCAACAUGGUGAAACCCCAUCUUUACAAAAAAAUACAAAAAUUUGCUGAGUGUGGUGACACGCAGCUGUAGUCCCAGCUGCUUGGGAGGCUGAGGCCAGAGGAUCGAUUGAACCUGGGAGGUAGAGGCUGCAGUGUGCUGUGAUUAUGUCGCUGCACUCCAGCCUGGGUAACAGAGGGAGACCCUGCCUCCAAAAGCAAAUACAAAAACAAAACCCUAGAAUGUUGAGGAAUUGAGAGAAGUUCAAUGUGUCUGAAUCAGAGUAUGAGGCAGGGAAUAUCAAGAGAUAAGUGAUUAAAAAGCAAUUAAAGAUGAAUAAUAGCAUUCACAUCCACAUAGAGAGAAUGCUGUUGAAUGUCAAAUGAGGGAUGUGAAGAACCACCUAACGUAUGUUGCCAGAAUGCAGAGAAAAGGAUUAAAAAUAUUGGCCGAGUGUGGGAGAUGAGAGCUAUCUAGGGGAGGGAAGAAUGAGUCAACGCAAGAAUCUUAGGUAUUCCUAUGGGAAAAUAGAAGCAACAACCAAAGACCUAAUUAAACAAGUGUUUCUUGUGCUGAAAAGAACUUGAAGAUGAAGAUCAAAAGAAUCCACCACAGGGCUGGGCGCAGGGGCUCAUGCCUGUAAUCCUAACACUUUGGGAGGCUGAGGCAGGCAGAUUGCUUGAGGUCAGGAGUUUGAGACCAGCCUGGCCAACGUGGAGAAACCCUGUCUCUACUAAAAAUACAAAAAUUAGCUAGGUGUGGUGGCGUGUGCCUGUAAUCCCAGCUGCAUGAGAGGCUGAGGCAGGAGAGAAUUGCUCGAACCCAGGAGGUGGAGGUUGCAGUGAGCCGAGAUUGCACCACUGCACUCCAGCCUGGGUAACAGAGCGAGGCUCCAUCUCAAAAAAAAAAAAAAAAAAAAAAAAAGAAUCCACUGCAUUCCAAGAAAAAAGAAUGACAACAUUUUCACAUUACAAAGAUAUAAGAAAUAGACCAUAUGAGCAUUCAGAUAGAAAAAAGUAAGUUUCCUAUGCAGGAACAAAAAUCUCUCUGGCCAUAGGCUUUUUUUUAAAAUUUUUUAAUUUUUUUAUUUUUUGCAACACCCAAGAUCAGAAGACAAUGAAACCACACGUAGUAGAGUUUUCAGGGGGAAAUGUUGGGAACAACCUCAUGCCCAACUAAGUCUGUUGUCUUUCAAGGCAACAGCAUAUACUUUCAGAUUUGCAAGGCCUGGUACCAUAGACCUUCCCGUCCUUUCAUUAACACAUCUCAAAGAUCUGCUACUCAAAAGAGUGGUCAAAAUGAAGAUCUCAGUAAUGAGGAGAUCAUGAUCCACUUUAAGACCAGCAUUGUUCAUGCUGGACCCACACACAGGUAUUUGAUUGGCCUCCAUGUGGUCUGGUCAGUUCUGUGGCCACGGGCUGUGGUUUGGCCUGCAAGAACCUCCUUGAGCUGCUCCUCUUAAGGUCUCCGUCAUUUCCCGGAAAGUGGAUUUCUUGCAUCACAUGCUUUACCUCAUGUUUCAGAAGAAAUGUCAUGAUUGAUGACCACAUGAAACUGAUUUGGCUCCAGGGUCUGUAAUAUUGGCCAAACUAUUUACAUGGUUGAGAGCCAAUGCCGAGAAGAACCAAACACUUCCUCUUCCUCAAAACCAGAGCUGUGUAGUGCAUCGUAUUCAUCAUUAGCAUCACCAAGAGCUUCACAUGUUUUCUAUGUCUUUUUUUUUUUUUUUUUUUGAGACAGUCUGGCUUUGUUGCCCUGGGUCUGCUCUUGAAAUCCUGGACUCAAGUAAUCCUUCCACCUUAGUCUCCCAAAGUGCUGGGAUUACAGGCGUGAGCCACUGUGCCCAGCUGUUGUCUGCAUCUUUAAGACUUCAAUGGUUACCUGAUUUCUCUGACUUUUAACUAGGAAGGAAUAGUAAAAGGUCUAAGCAGCCACGUUGUCAGAAAGCUUCAGUUCAUACUGUCCUCCACCUGGGACUUGUGAAUGUCCCUGUGUUACCUAUGGCUGGACUCAGUAUAUUCAUUAUGUUCAUAUAAUGCAAAUAUUUAGAAGUGAGGCUGACCUGUUUUUUAUAUUUUUUAAAGUAAAUCUCAGAAUCAGAGAAAUUAUCAUUUCCUUUUGAUCUAAGAAGUUAGUGACUCACUUUAGUAAGAGAAAUAUUUUUAAAGGCACAGAAAAAAGACUAAGAAUUAUAAUAAUAUAAGAAAAUAUUUCUGACUAGAAAUAUUACAGUAUAACUAUUGCUGGGUAAUUAGCCCUCCGCCCACCUCUGAAAUUACUGACUUGAACAAUGUAUUUGGAACCUUCAGAAACAAAGCCAAUAGUGUAUAAAUACAUACAUUAUAAGACCUUUAUUAUAGGGAAUUUAUUAUGAGGAAUUGGCUCAUGGAUUGUGGAAGAUGAGAAGUCCCAUAGUCUGCCAUCUGCAAGCCGGAGACCCGGGAAAGCUGGUGGUACAGUUCCAGGCUGAGUCGAAUGGCCUGAGAACCAGGGGCACUUGAUGGUGUAAGCCCCAAUUUGAGGGCAGGAGAAGACUGAUGUCCCAGCUCAAGUAGUCAGGCAGAGGGAGCAAGUUCUACCUUUCCAGGCCUUUUGUUCUGGCCUGCAAUGGACUGGGGAAGGAACACUGGGGAAAGCAAUCUGCUUUACUCAGUCUAUGAUUCCAGUGUUAAUCUCAUCCAAACACCUUUACAGACAUACCCAGAAUAAGGUUUAUCUAUUCAGGCAUCUUGUGGUCUAGACAUAAAAUUAACCAUCACAAACAACAUGCAUUUAUUGUGCUCAAGGGUUCUGUGGAUCUGGAAUUUCAACAGGGCACAGGAGGGAGGGUUUGUCUUUAUUCCCUGGUGUCUGAGACCUCAGCUCAGUAAGACUCAAGCUGGCAAUGACUUGGUAGCUGGGGGCUGGAAGCAUCUGGAAGCUCUUUCAUUGCCCUGCCUGGUGCCUGGGUUGUCAUGACUUGAAUACUAGGAUUACUGAGCGGAGCAGUCACCAGCUUGCCCAGAUUCAGAGAAAGGGGGACACAGACCCCAACCUCAAUCAGCAGAGUAGCAAAAGAAUUUCUGGCCAUACUUUCCAAAACGACCUGGUAAUAACUUGUUAACAUCGGUUUUCUUUGGCUCAUAGGAUUUGGGAUGGUGUUCUGUGUUGAACUGUGUCCCGCCACCCCCUUCCAAAUUCAUAUGUUGAAGUUCUAACCCCCACUACCUCAGAAUGUGACUAUUUGGAAAUCGUGUGUUAAUUACUUAAGUUAGAAUGAGGUCAUACUGGAGUGGGGUGGGCCUCAAAUCUAAUAAAACCAGUGUCCUUAUAAGAAGGGGAAAUUUGGAUACAGAUUUGCACACUGGGAGGACACCAUGUGAAGAUGAAGGGAGAGGUCAGUGUAAUGUUCUGUCAACCAAGGGAUGCCAGAGAUUGCCAGUAAAACACCAGAAGCUAGCUGGGAGGUGUGGAACAGACCCUUCCCUCACAGCCCUCAGAAGGAACCAACCAGCCCUGCCAACACCUUGAUCUUGCACUUCUGGCCUUCAGAACUGUGAGACAAAAAAUGUCUGUUGUUAAACCAUGCAGUCUGUGGCACUUUGUUAUGACAGCCCUCGCCAACAAAUACAGAUGGUUUUAAGGUUUUUUAUACUUUUCAUAUUUUUGACAGGGAACAUAUAUUUCUUUAAUAAUGAGAAAAAUAGAUUUGAUUUAAUUUAAUGUUUUCAAUUUCUUUGUUCCGUAAAAACAUGAAAAUAUGCCAAAAUCUUUCCAUGGUUGUGUCUAGGUAAUGUGACUACAGGUAAUUAAAAAAAUCCCAUCUACUGAAAACGUUUUCUCUAAUGAGUAUGUGUCACCCUUAUUAUGGUGAGGAAAAGAAGGCUGGAAAAGCCACCAUGGGAAGUAGAAAGAGCACCUGCCCUGGGUCCCACUCCGCUGGGGAGUAGCUCUGAGUCCGGCUCCCAGUGUGUAACAGGGGGAGUCUUCCUCAGUGUUGGGAGAGGCAAAUGCAUGCAUCUAUGCAGACACACACAGAAUCCCGGAAUCCAGUAUCUGGCGCUGGGGCCUGGUGAGCUGCACUUUGCCUCCAUUCUCCACAGUGUGGUUUACAGCCUGUGGCUGUGAUUACGAGUGGUGGUGGAAGAUGUCAGUACUUUAAGAUAUACAUAUAUAUAUUUUAAAAUAUCUAUAUAUGGAUAUAUAUAUUAUAUCUAUAAUAUAUAGAUUAUAUAUCACCUAUAUAUAGAUAAUAUAUAUAUAGAGUACUAUAUAUAUAUAAUCUAUCUAUCCAUCUAUAUGAGAGAGAGAGAGAGAGACAGAGAGAGAGACAGAGACAGAGUCUUGCUCUGUCACCCAGGCUGGAGUGCGGUGGUGUGAUCAUAGUUAAUUGCAGCUUUAAACUCCCUGGGCUCAUGCAAUCCUCCCACCUCAGCCUCCUGAGUAUCUGGGGCCACAGGAGCAUACCACCAUGCCUGGCUAAUUUAUUUAUUUAUUUAUUUUGUAGAGAAAGCAUCUCCCUUAUGUUGCCCAGGCUGGCCUCAAACUUCUGGGCUCAAGUAAUCCUCCUACUUUGGCCUCCUGAAGUGCUAGGGUUACAGGCAUGAGCCACCAUACCUGGCCACAAAAAAUAUUUCAACCACAAUCAUGUCUCUUUUCAUGCUGACUUACCUCGUUGAAUGGCCCUGGAGUGGUCAUGGGGAUUUUAGGACUAGGCUAAGGGAAAGCUGACUUAUGGAUAUAUUUAGUUUGAUUUCAGUGAAUGUCUUAAUCCAUUUCAGCUGCUAUAGCAAAAUCCCAUAAACUGGAUGGCUUAUAACAACAGAAAUUUAUUUCUCACAGUUCUGGAGGCUGGGAAGUCCAAGAUCAUAGCACCAGCAGAUUUGGUGUCUGAUGAGGGCCCCUUUCCUGGUUACAAAUGGCACUUUCUCUCUUAAUGUCCUCAUGUGGUGGAAGAGGUGAGGGGUCUUUCUCAGGCCUCUUCCAUAGGGCACUAAUCCCACUCAUGAGGGCCCCAGCCUCAUGACCUCAUCACCCCCCCAAAUGCACCACCCCUUAGUAGCAUCACCUUAGGGGUUAGGAUUUCAACCUAGGAAUCUUGAGGGAACCCAAACAUUCAGGCCAUAGCAAUGGGAUUUACUUAUGUGCUUUGCAAUCACUUCCUUAAGUAGGUAAGUUAUUCAUAACUAUCCUGGGGUGGGAGGGGCUUUCAAAGAUAGUCCUACUGACCACUGUGCCUACUCACCAGGCUUGUGACGUGUGCUACGAGAAGAACACUUUUUGCAGAGCCUAACAUUGGCAGUAUGUAGGUAGUAGAGGAACAUUUGAAAUAUAUAGAACCAGCAGUCUGCAGGUAUUUUUCCAGAUUUUAUAGCUCCUAUAUGAAAAACACUUGGCAGAGAUUUCUCCAAAUUUGUCAAUAAUUCUAACAAUUUACAUGACAUUAUCAAUGAGUUGAGAAGCUGAAAUAAAUUAUUCUAAACUAUUAAUGUUGGAAAGAACUCCAAAUUUUAGCCAAAUUAAAGGAAAAACAACUUUUAUUCUCACUAGAGAAAAUAAUUUUAAAUCUUUAUUUUUUAGGAAAAAAGUGUUUUAAAAGAGCAUGCAACUAAAAAAGAUAGGAAAGGGAGCACUACCGAAAUGUCCCAGGCAGUUAGUAAAAAUGUUAUUUCAUAUUUUGGUGAAAAAUUUUGUUUGCUGUAUUUGUCAGCGUUAUUAAAUUUAUGCUUUAUGUUUUUUUGUUCUAGAUACAUAUUUGUGUUUAUGAUUAAAUUUGCAUUUGUAAGUUUGCCUUCUUUUUCUUGUAGAGAGCCUCCAAAAUUAUAAAAACACAGAGCCCCUCAAAAUCUGAGUCUGACCUGAAGGAGCCCAGCUUUCAAAUCGAUCCUUGUUUUCCCACAAAGUUGUUAUUUGAGUCUGAUGCUACUAUUUAGAAUUGUAGGUUCUCUGUUUUUCCAUUUCCUACAGAAGAACUCAGAUUGAGAAAAGCUAUUUACCAAUCAUUUCCUUUUAACCUAAAAGGUUUCAGUGACUCUCUCUAGCAAGAGUUUGAGGGUGCAUGCUAUUUACCUAGUCAGAGCAAAACCAUGAUUCAGAGUGUGAGAAAAUGGCUCUCAUUUUCCUAGGAAGUUUUCAAUAUAAAAACAUGCUGUGCUUUUGAAUGAAAAGUAAAAUUUAAAGCCAAUGGAUGGAAAUUUCUUGUAAGAAGAUGUAAAAAACCCCUAGCUGUUUCUAUUCUUGAAAAUAAGAGUUGUUUUUUCACAGGGUCUAAGACUUGAAUACAUUUUUUCGAAAUGAAUUUGGCCUGUUGUAUUAAGGCCUGUGAUAAUACGAUUUCAUUCCUUGGUGCAGCUCCUUAAGUACCUUCCUUCUGUAGCCACUGUGCUUUGGUGUUUUAAAGUUAAAAAACUCAGGAAAAAAUAGUCUUGGGUCAUAAAAUUACAUUUGCAUAUAUGGGGUUUUAAUUUGAAGCCAGGGGUUUCUUUGCCUUUAUCUCUGAUCAAAGAUAAGCUUCACUUAUUUUGCUGAACUUAUUCUGUGGUUUAAAAAAUAUUUCCUGUUUUAAAAUAUAACAGAUCUGUUACAGAAAGAACAUAAACUAAGUAUCCAGCCUAGAAUAUUUGUCCCCUUUCCCCUAUGCUGGGAUGGAGAAAAAGAAAAGAGCAUGUCUUCAGAAUACAGUAGCCUUAUGUUAAAAUGUCAGCUCCAUCUUUCAUUAGCUGUGUGACCUUGGGCAAGUUACUUAGUCUUCUCAUCUAUUAAAUCAUGCGUAUUAAUAUUCAUCUUGUGAAGUUGUGAAAAUUACAUGAUAAAUUAAAAACAAGAAAACAAUCAAAAAACCUUUUCCCAUCUAGUUAUAGUAAGUACCUGGCACAAAAAGGAACUAAGCAAACACUUAAAAUAUGAGAAAGAUAAGGCCUUAAGCCUGCUCCUGAGGAGUGUGGAAUCUGGAAUAUGGCAGAAAAGAAGGAUCAAAGGGGAAGGGUUAAAUUAUGGAGCAUUUGAAGUUGGUGCAUUUCGAAGGAAGUGGUGGAAAGAAGUUGAGUGAUUCUAGUUUGGAGAAAGUUUUAUAUAAAGCUGAGGAGUAAGUGAUAAAUUACAUGUAGGGGACCACUGUUAUAUUUUCUUGGUUGAAUUAAAGAGUAGAAGUUCAUUUAUUUCUUUAUUCUUUUAUUAAUUCAACAAACAUGUAGUGAAAUGUUUAACAUGUGCCAGGAAGUUUUUUUAGUUCUGGAGAAUACAAAGAGAAAGGAGACCCAUUUCUCACCCUUAAGGAAGUUAUAGUCUACUGGGAGGAGAGAAACAGGAAAAAAUGGUAGAUAUUAAAAUGUGGGGUACAAAAGAGAAAGGGAGGGAGGUGGGGUCUGUGAGUUCUUUAGGUGUCAGAGGUAAUUCUUGAGCUGAGGUGUCUGCAUGGCUGCGAAGGUCCGGUGGCAGGGUGUGUGGACUGUGUAGACAUUGUAGGUAGGGAACUGGAAUGAACGAAGUCCCAGGUGUACAUCAGCUUUGCAUGUGUGUGGGAGCUGCUCCAGAGUAACAGCAUGUGGGGUCAGUGAUGGAGGGCUGGCUUGCAUGCAUCAGCACAAGCCCGUGAGGGGCCACGUCAGGGAAUAAUGACAGUGGCUGUGGCAGUGACUCCAAGAACAAAUAGAUGUAACCUAGGGCAGGGGUCCCUGAUGCCUGGGCCACGAACCGGGUACUGGGUACUACUGCUCUAGGGGAAGGUCUGAAAGACCAGGUGAAAGGGUGGGAUUUGAAAAUUUUGGGAAACAUGAUGAAGGUGGGGUUUGGAAUGUGAGGCUUCCAACUGUAUAUACUGCUCAAAUUGCAUGAGGAGGUGGCGCAUGCCUGUAAUCCUAGCACUUUGGGCCCAGGAGUUCAAGACCAGCCUAGGCAACAUGGCGAAACCCUGUCUGUAUAAAAAAUACAAUAAAAGUAGCCGGGCCUGGUAGUGGACUCCUGUAGUCCCAGCUACUCAGCAGGCUGAGAUUGGAGAAUUACCUGAGCCCAGGAGGUUGAGGCUGCAGUAGGUGCCAGAUUGAGACUGUUUAAAAAAAAUUGCGUGGGGAAGACAGCUGAGACAAGGAUAUUAAAUAAGAAGACAUUUUAUAAGCCUGGCCAUUUGAAGAUAUAGGCUUAGACCAGUAGAUUGUAAUUUAAAUUUUACUUUUUUAUUUUCCAACUCUUUAAUCUCUAGGAAUAACUGGAAAUUUUAAGAAGUUACUAUCUCUGCUAUGGGGAUGGAUAGUCAGACAGCAAUGUUCACAAAUUACUCUUGAAACUUGAUGCAAACAACCUGUUUAAAAACUGAUGUAACGAGAGGAAUUUCAUGGAUGCAAAUGAACACCUGUGAAAAUUCUUCGGCAAGAACUGUUUCAUUUAGCAACACCAGGUUAGCAGUUUGAGAGAGGAUCUUUUUUGGGUCUACAUGCCCAAAUUUACAGACUGUUUUGCUACUUGAAUCUGCCAUAAUGUUUGUUGAAUAAAUAAUCUCUAUCUUUGAGGGAGCUGUUGAAUUUUUUUACAAUCAAAAUCCUGAAAGGAAUACAUUUAGAUUGUAUGCAUCUCAAUGUGCUCCGAGGCCUGUGGAUGUUUGCUGUUCUUUUUAAAGAAUUUAGGCAUCUUAACUCUUGGCAUAUAAAAUUAUUCUUAGGAACGAUAUGGAUAUAAUUCAAGUGUAAUACCACCUAUACAUUUGCCAGAAAUCACAGAUAUAUAUGUGUGUGUGUGUGUGUGUGUGUGUGUGUAUAUAUAUAUAUAUAUAUAUAUAUAUAUAUAUACUUUUUCUCAUUUCUAGUAACAAUGAAAAUCCUGUAACUUUUUGCUACAGAUGAAAAUAACUGGGAUCAUGAAUGAAAUGACCAGAUGGUUGCCCCAUCACCUAACAGUGAGGUGCCCCCGCUUGAAAUGUUGCCCCCGCUUGAAAUGUUUCUGGUUUCUUUUUUUUUUUUUUUUUCGAGACAGAGUCUCGCUUUGUCACCCAGGCUAGAGUGCAGUGGCGCGAUCUCGGCUCACUGCAAGCUCCACCUCCUGGGUUCACGCCAUUUUCCUGGCUCAGCCUCCCUAGUAGCUGGGACUAUAGGCGCCCGCCACCACGCCUGGCUAAUUUUUUUGUAUUUUUAGUAGAGACGGGGUUUCACCGUGUUAGCCAGGAUAGUCUCGAUCUCCUGACCUCGUGAUCCACCUGCCUUGGCCUCCCAAAGUGCUGGGAUUAAAGGCGUGAGCCACCGCGCCUGGCCAACAUGUUUCUGGUUUCUUAAGACUUUAGUAUAUUGUUCUUAACAUUUAUUUGGGAUGUAUUUGCAUUUUUGGAAGCUGACCAGUUUCUACACAUAUCUAAAUGCCUCCUUACAUUUGACAGUACAUUUAACAUGCUAAAGUACUUUUCUUAGAUAUGAUCAAUUUUAUCCUUGAAAUAAGCCUAUUGGGAGCCAUGGACACCAGCUCAUUGUGGUGAGGACGCUGAACUCAAUGGUGCAGAUACAGUGGUGAAGGAGACACACACCCUGUGGUAUGGUGGAGUAGACUCCUAACAGACCAACCCUGCCACAAAUAUAGCAACUAUAAACUGGACAAACUACCAAAAGUAACUACUUAAGAGACCUGGGAAGUGAGCAAAUGCAGGCAGAGGGGAGUUGAAUCUUGGAGGAGAGUGUGAGUUUCCUGUUUUUCAGCCUUGUCCAAAAGAUGGGCCCUGGUCACAAAGUGUCUGGGGGUGGCUAAAACUCCCAUAGAAAGACUGCCAUGUUUCUGGUCUAGGGAACCAGGGGCUGGAGCCUGGGGCAAUCAUGGCCACGAGAGUGAGGGAGAAAUCCCAGAGAGGACAGAGCCAGAGAAGGGGGCACCCAAAUGCUGUAUCUGAACUCUGCCCAAGUCUCUAGCUGACCCGUGAACCACAUGCACACAAACCAGAUUCAAAGCCACUUGCAGCUAAGGUUUGGAGUACUGAAUUGAGAUUUGAAUGGCCACUCACCAUGAGAGACAUGGAGUUUACAGCCUUCAGUGUAACCAAGUCAAUUGCUUGUUAAAACAAAGUAUCAACAGCCUUGGAAUGAAUACAACAGAAUUUAGAGUCUUGACUUAUGAAACAUCCACCAUGUCCAAAACUACUCAAAAUAUGAAGGACCAGGAAAAUGUGAUGUAUUGGCAACAAAGAAGUUAAUAAAAAGAGGUCAAUUUCAGAUGACCGAAAUGUUGAAACUAUUAGUCAAGGAAUUUAAAGCAGCUAUUGUGCUCAAUAGAGUGAAAAAAAUGCUCCUAAUAAAUGAGAAGAUAGGAACUUUUAGGAAAGAAAUGGAAAAUAUAUAAAGAAAAUAUACAAAAAGGGGAAAUUUUAGAACUGACAAAUACAAUACAUGAAAAAAAAAUUGCUGGAUGGGCUCUAAUAGCAUAAUGGAGAUAGAGAGGAAAGAACCAGUGAAUUUGAAGAUAGAGCAAUAGAAAUUGUCCCAUCUAAAGGAGGAGGAGAGGAGGAGGGGGGCGGGGGAAGGGAGUGAGAAACAUAGAGAGCCUCAGGAAUGUGUGGCACAAUAUAAAAAAAACUGAUAUUAUGGAUAGUUAAAAUAUCAGGAAGAGAGGAGAAAAAGAAUGGGAUGGCAAAUAUUUGAAAAAAUAGUGGCUGAAAACAUCCUAAAUUUAAUAAGAUGUUUACAUUUUCUGAUUGGAUAAGCUUUGUGAAUCCCAAAUGGGAUAAAUACAAAGAAAAACAAACUAGACACAUCAUAGUCAAACUACUGAAAACAAACAAAAAACAAAGAGGAAUCUUAAAAGCGUAAAUAAAAAUGACACAUUUUAUAUAUAGGAGAAUAAUGAUUUCAAUGGUUGUGGACUUCUCAGCAGAAAUUAUAGAAGUCAGGGACAGUCGAAUGAAAUUGUUGAAGUGCUUAAAGAAAAAACUGUCAGCUUAGAAAUCUCUGUCUAGCAAAAAUACCCUUCAAGAAUGAAAGCAAAAUGAAGACAUCUUCAGAUAUCAGAAAACUAAGAGAAUUCAUCACCAGAAGACCUGCACUUCCAGAAGCUAAAGAAAGUUGUACAGACUGAAGGGAGAUGAUAUGAGAAAAGGAAUAAAAAGCAUAAAAAAUUAUAAAUAUUGGAGUAAACAUCAAAGACCAAUUUUCCUCUUAAUUUCUUUCACAUAUGCACAACUGUAUAAAGGACAUAAUAUUGACUUAAGGUUUAUAUCACAUGUAGAUAGAUUUUAUGGCAGCUAUGGCAUAAAAGAUGGUGGCAGUGUUGGUGGUGUGGCCGGGGAGGGUAAAUGGACCAGUAAAAUUGCCAGUAGACUGAGAAGUUAAGGGAUUAUAUUAUAGUCUCUAGAGGAGCUUCUAAGAAAUCAUGCAAAAGACUAAAAGACCAAUAGGUAAGUUAAAAUGAAAUUAUAAAAAUAUUCACUUAAUCCAAAAGAAUAUAGGAAAGGGAGAACAAGAGGGACUAACAGCAGAGGAGACAAACAUAAAGCAAAUAAUAAAAUAAUACAGCAUAACCAAUUAGUUUUAUCCCAGGAAUUCAAGGUUUGUUUAACAUUAGAAAAUCAAUAUAACUCACCAUAUUAACAGAAUAAAGGAGAAAAACCAUCUGAUCAUUUUCAUAUGUAGAUAAAAAAUAUGACAAAAUUUGAUAUCCAUUUAUAAGAAAAAUUCUCACCAAACUGACUAUGAAGGACUUCUUCAACUUCAUAAAAAGCAUCUAUGAAAAACCUACGGUGAGCAUUAUACUUAAUGGUGAAAUAUUAAAUGAUAUUCUACCAAACUCAGAAAAAAGGCAAAUGUGCUCAUUUUUUUUACCACUUCUACUCAAUAUUGAAUUGGAGCUUCUAGCCACUGCAAUAAAGAAUGAUAAAAUGAUAAAGAUUGGAAAGAAGGAAGCAAAAUCGUCCUUAUUUGCAGGCAAUACGAUUGUUUACAUAUGAUUGUUUUCUACAUCCUAAGGAUCUAAAAAAUAAUUAGAAGUAGUAUAUUAUUCCAUUCUCACACUGCUAUAAAGAACUACCUGAAACUGGGUCAUCUUUGAAGAAAAGAGUCUUAAUUGACCCACAGUUCCACAGGCUGUACAGGAGGCAUGGCUGGGGAGGCCUCAGGAAACUUACAAUCAUGGCAGAAGGUGACAGGGAUGCCAGCACGUCUUCACAUGGUGGCAGGUGAGAGACAGAACGAAGGCGGAGGUGCUACACACUUUUAAAAGAAGCAGGUCUCAUGAGAAUUCCAUCACAAGACAGCACUAGAAGGAUGGUGCUAAACCACUAGAAACCACCCUUAUGAUUCACCUUUCACCAGGCCCCACCUCCAACACUCAGUAUCACAAUUCAACAUGAGAUUUGGGUAAGUACACAGAACCAAACCAUAUCAUUUUGCACCUGGCCUUUACCAAAUGUCAUGUCCUUUUCACGUUUCAAAAAACAAUUAUGCCUUCCCAAGAAUCCUCCAAAUUCUUAACUCGUUCCAGAAUUAACUCAAAAGUCCCAGUCCAAAGUCUCAUCUGAGACAAGGCAAGUACUACUCCUCUGCCUAUGAGCCUGUAAAAUAAAGAAACAAGUUAGUUAGUUCCAAGAUACAGUGCAGGUACAGGCAUCGAGUAAAUGCUCCCAUUCCAAAAGGGAGAAAUUGGCCAAAACAAAGGGGCUAUAGGCCUCUUGCAAGCAAAACCCAGGAAGGCAGUCAUUUAAUCUCCAAGCUCCAAAAUACUCUCCUUUGACUCCAUGUCUCACAUCCAAGGCACACUGAUGCAAGGGGUGGGCUCCCAAGGCCUUGGGCAGCUCUGCCUCUGUGGCUUUGCAGGGUACAACCCCCAAAGCUACUUUCAUGGGCUGGGAUUGAGUGCCUGCAGCUUUUUCAGGCGAACAGUGCAUGCUGUCAGUGGAUCUAUCAUCCUGGGGUCUGGAAGAUGGUGGCUCUCUUCUCACAGCUCCAUUAGGCAGUGCCCCAGUGGGAACUUGGUGGGAGCUCCAACCCCACAUUUCACCUUCACACUGCCCUUGUAGAGGUUCUUCAUGAGGGAUCCAGUCCUGCAGCAGACUUCUGCCUGGACAUCCGGGUGUUUCCAUACAUCCUCUGAAAUCUAGGCAGAGGCUCCCAAGUCUCAACUCUUGCCCUUUGCAUACCCACAGGCCCAACACCAUAGGGAAGCCAUCAAGACUUGGGGCUUACACCCUCUGAAGCAAUGACCUGAGCUGUACUGUGGCCCCUUUUAGCCAUGGCUGAAACGGGAGCAGCUGGGAUGCAGGGCACCAUGUCCCAAGGCUGCACAGAGCAGUAAGGCCCUGGACCUGGCCCACGAAACCAUUUCUCCCUCCUAGGCCUCUGGGCCUGUAAUAGGAAGGGCUGCUAUGAAGGUCUCUGAAAUGUCUUAGAGGGAUUUUCCCCAUUGUCUUGGCUAUUAAUAUUUGGCUCCUUUUUACUUAUGUAAAUUUCUGCAGCUGGCUUGAAUUACUUCCCAGAAAAUAGGUUUUUCUUUUCUACUACAUGGCAGGUUGAAAAUUUUCCAAGCUUUUAUACUCUGCUUUCCUUUUAAAUAUAAGUUCCAAUAUCAAACCACCUCUUCGGAAAUGCAUAUGAGCAUAUGCUGUUAGAAGCAGCCAGGUCACUUCUUGAAUGCUUUGCUGCUUUGAAAUUUCUUCCACCAGAUACUCUAAAUAAUCUCUCUCAAGUUCAAAGUUUCACAGAUCCCUAGAGCAGGGGCACAAUGCCACCAGUCUCUUUGCUGAAGCAUAGCAAGAAUGACCUUUACUCCAGUUCCCAAUAAGUUCCUCAUCUCCCUCUAAGACCUCCUUGGCCUGGACUUCAUUGUCCAUAUCUCACUAUCAGUAUUUUGGUCAAAGCCAUUCAACAAGUCUCUAGGAAGUUCCAAACUUUCCCUUAUCUUCUUGUCUUCUUCUGAGCCUUCCAAACUGUUCCAACCUCUGCCCAUCCAAAGCUGCUUCCACAUUUUCAGGUAUCUUUUGUAGCAAUGCCCCACUUCUCUGAUACCAAUUUCCUAUAUUAGUCCAUUCUCACACUGCUAUAAAGAACUAUCUGAGACUGGGUAAUCUAUGAAGAAAAGAGGUUUAAUUGACUCACAAUUCUGCAGGCUGUACAGGAGGCAUGGCUGGGGAGGCCUCAGAAAACUUACAAUCAUGGCAGAAGGUGAAGGGGAAGCCAGCACAUCUUCAUAUGAUGGCAGGAACUUUAUAUGUUAUAGAAGUUAGCCCCAAGAAUGAAAUCGUGUCCUUUGCCAAAACAUGGAUGGAGCUAGAGGCCUUUAUCCUAAGUGAGUUAACGCAGGAACAGAAAGCCAAAUAGUGCAUGUUCUCACUGAUAAGUGGGAGCUAAACUAUGGGUUCACAAAGGCAUGCAGAGUGGUACUGUGGACAUUGGAGACUCAGAAUGGGGGAGGCUAGGAGGGAGGUAAGGGAUGAAAAAGUACCUGUUGGGUACAAUGUACACUACUUGGGUGACGAUGGGUCCACUAAAAUCCCAGAUUUAACCACUGUACAAUUCAUCCAUGUAACCAAAACCCACCUGUACCCCAAUGCUAUGAAAAUAAAUAAAACCAAAUUAGCUCUGUUUCUGUUAGAUGAGAUGCAAAUAUUUUCCCAAGUUUGUCCUUUGUCUUUUGACUUUGUUUAUGGUGUUUCACUCAUGCAGAUGUUUUUUAUUUUCAUGUUUUUAACUUGUCAUUAUUUUCUUUCAUGUCUUCUGGAUUUUAAGUCAUGUUAUCAAGGCUUUCCCACUCUGAUAUUAUAAAUGAAUUUUUCCUCAUUUCUCUUAGAACUUUGAUUCUUUCACUUCCCACAUUUAACCUUCCACGUAUCCAGAAUUUCCCCUAGCAUAAGUUGAUACGGUCCCAAUGUUUCUUUUUUUUUUUUCCCAAAUGGCCACUCAUUUAUACCAACACCAUUUAUUGAAUCGUCUAUAGUCCCCACUGAUUUGAAAUGCCAGCUUUACAUACCAAAGUCCUGUAUGCAUUUGCCUCUGUUCUGUUUGGUAGGUCUAUUCAAGCUCCAGUUCCCAAAAGUGUUGAGUGUCGCUUAAAAUCUAGAAGGGCUGGUUUCUAGUUUUCCAUAAUUGCUCCUCUUUUCUAGUGUCCUCUGUCCUAUUAGGGCUUAUUGAUUUUUAAAUAUGAUUUGUGGAUUCAGUUUUCUUUAGUUCUAGUGAGCAACAAAAACAACCAAGAAAAAAAUAAAAAAAACCCUCCCUGUUUUCCUUUCUUUCUUUCUUUUUUUAAUCAAGAUCACCUUAAGUUUAAAAAUUAACGUAGGAUAACUUGACAUAUUUUAUGAUUUUUAUGUUACUCUCCAAAAAUAUAAUAAGUGGUUCUAUUUAUUCAACUCUACUCCUUUGUCCUGCAGGAACAUUUUGUUUCCUUAUCAAGUCUGAUAUUGUCUUUUGGUCUGAGAUAGACAUAUUUAAAAAAAUUGUGUUCAUUGAUUUCUAUCUUAUUAAAGACUGGUUUUGCU
rnacentral:lncRNA from 1 species